rnacentral:tRNA from 1 species
GCGGGUGUGGCUCAGAGGCGACAGCGCCUGCCUUCCAAGCAGGAAAUCAAACACCGUGGGUUCGAAUCCCACUACCCGCUCCA